GAACACAUAAUUUUCAGGUUUAUGCUUGUCUCUAAGCUUCAUAGAGCUCCUGCACUGCUAUAUACCCUGAGUUGUAAACAUGAGAGUUGGGUCUCUAUCUCAAAGCAUUUGAUGGAUGAUCUUCCCGUCUUCUUAAGUUCUGAAAAUGUGAAGGACGUGAAAGAUGUUCUCUCUACUCUUCUUUCAAAUCUACCUCCCAAUUUUGCUGAUUUCAUAAAGUGGGU
rnacentral:misc_RNA from 1 species